rnacentral:rRNA from 1 species
GCGUGCGGGAAGAAGGCCUUCGGGUUGUAAACCGCUUUUGUCAGGGAAGAAAUUGCCCGGGCUAAUACCCUGGGCCGAUGACGGUACCUGAAGAAUAAGCACCGGCUAACUACGUGCCAGCAGCCGCGGUAAUACGUAGGGUGCAAGCGUUAAUCGGAAUUACUGGGCGUAAAGCGUGCGCAGGCGGUCCUGUAAGACAGAGGUGAAAUCCCCGGGCUCAACCUGGGAACUGCCUUUGUGACUGCGGGGCUGGAGUACGGCAGAGGGGGAUGGAAUUCCGCGUGUAGCAGUGAAAUGCGU